rnacentral:misc_RNA from 1 species
GCAAGAUUUUCCUCAAUCAUUUCUCAUAUUGACUAUUGAAUCUCUGGCUAAAAUUAUGGUUCAUUAUCAGCAGUAUUGUCAAGUGAGUAAAGAGGAAUUGUUUCCUCAGGGAGAAAUGAUGGAGAAGAAGCAGAAGAAGUUUCUUACUGUGGCCCCGUUCGAGUGUGCCUGGCCUAAUGAUCUGAGAUUUAGAGAAGCAGGGAGGGGUUGUGUAGCUUUUGAUGCUUUCGCGCAUAAUGAUGUAACAGUUGUUUUUCGGGAGCAGGUAGGGAGUCAGCACUAUCACUACAAAAGGGAUAACUGUCCUCACUAUACUGUAAUCAUUGGUAGUCAUAGGAACAAGAGAUUGAAAAUCGAGGUUGAUGGUAAAACGGUGGUGGACGCUGCUGGUGUCGGUCUUUGUUGUUCUUCAGCAUUUCAAAGCUACUGGAUUAGUAUCUAUGAUGGAUUAAUUAGCAUUGGCAAGGGAAGGUAUCCUUUCCAGAAUCUUUGCUUUCAGUGGCUUGAUUCAAAUCCCAAUUGUACCGUUCAGUACAUUGGUCUUAGCAGUUGGGAUAAACAUGUUGGCUACAGGAAUGUUAAUGUACUGCCUGCCACACCAAAUCAUUUAUCUUUGUGGAAACAUGUGGAUUUUGUUGAGCAUGAUUUUGGAGAGGAUGAUUUAGAACAAGAGUUAGAAGAUGGAAUUGCUAAUUAUGAAAGUUGGGGUCUUGGAAAGUUUCUUGAGAAUUGGGAGUUAUCGGAUAUGUUUUUCAUUGUUGGAAAGGAAGAAAGGGUUGUUCCAGCUCAUAAGCUAGUUUUAGAGGCAUGUGGGGAUUUUUGUCUUAGUUCAUCAGUUGAAGAAGUUGUUCACCUGCCAGACAUAAGUUAUUCUGUUCUUCAUGCACUUCUUCAGUACAUCUACACUGGACAUACUCAGAUUUUGGAGUCUGAUCUCUGCUCAUUGAAGUCUUUGAGCUUACAAUAUAAAGUGAUGUCAUUGGUGAGGCAAUGUGAAGAGAUCCUUGAGCGAAUUAUGUCUGAUAAGCAACUCGUUGACUCAACUCAGCUUGUUGACAUAUUUUAUCCAAGCUGGCUUCAAUGCAGCAAAACUUUUCCUUAUGGGUUGCCAAUUAAUAGAGAAAGGCUUGAACGGUUCCUCUCGACUGGAGAGUAUAGUGAUCUAGACCUUUAUGUUGGAGUUCAUGAUAUUGUUUUGCGAUCACAUAAAGUAAUCCUUGGGUCAUGGAGUACUCCUUUCACAAAGAUGUUUACAAAUGGAAUGA